AAUAGUGUCGUUCGAUCGCUUCGGCGGUUAACACGCUACGUUGUUCGUUCAAUAUUGCGAAUUAUUGCAAAAAUAAAAGCUUUUAAAAUACUCUAAUAUCGGAAGGAUUUUAUUAUAUUCGGUCGUUUUCUGCAUUCAUAUUACGAACUUACGACACACCAUCAUUAUCAACGUAGAUCUAUUCUAGUGGACAUCGAUUUCUAUUCGUUAGAGGAAAAAUGGUUAACUACUAUAUUUAUGCAAAAGAUUUUUCUGGCUCGACAGGUGGAGACAGCUAUUAUCAUAGCAAUGGCAUGAACAGUUAUGAACAGUUCAAAAGCGACGUAGAAAAAAUAGAACAAGAAUCAGUAGUUGAGGGGAAGCCUCUAACGGAAUCCAAAAUAAUUUACUUACACUGGGGAGACUGCUGUUACGAAGUUAAUGAAAAUGAAACUGUUUCAACAUAUAAAAAAAUGUGUUGCGGAAAUAUGGGUACCUCACCAGAAUCGAUUAUCUAUUGGAUAAAAAAUAAUCUUGAUACAUGUGGCGAAAAUAACAGAAUAAAAUUGCUAUAUAUUAUUACAGACGGGUUGAUCGAUUACAACAGUGCAGACAGAUGUUUCGAACUUAAUACAGAUAUGCAUUAUGAAA